ensembl:lncRNA
GCUUGGAUCUGCAAGCGUGUCCUGGCUUUCUCUCCCUGGUACCUGACCUCCUGCUGGGGAGGAGGCGGGGCAGCAACCUGGCAACAGGUGCCUGACGCUGGCCCAUCAAGCUGGGUGCAAGGUUCUUGGGCCACAGUGAAAGGUGGUGACGGGUUUCAGUGGCACAGAAGGAGCGGGGAGUGUGACCGUCAGCCCCAAAGGCACUGCGGCACGGCAGAAGGAUGCGGGGGUCGCCUCUGGAGCCCGGACACAGGGUCGCCUGAUGGCGGUGGGUGCAGAUUCGUCACAUGGUGAUAAGGAAACAAGAGCUGUAUAAUCUUCUGUCUCCAGCACUGGUUGAGAUCGACGUUCAGUCCGCGGGAAUCUGAGUGUGCCCUCGCCAGGGUGCCCGCCUCGCCCACCUGCUGGCUCGUCUCGGCCUGCCGCUCUUGCUUAUCUGGCCCACAGAGCAGACCUCGUCCUGCCUCCCUGCAGGGAUAAUCAUGUUCCUUUCCUCUGGCGUUUUCUUGCUGUCUUGAUCAGCUCACAAAUGUUUCUUAUCACUCUCCGUCUUCAUUCGCAUAUUUGAACAAUGUAAAAAUGGCCCCCCAUGUUCACAUGGAGUGUUUUUUUGCUAUAAACUCAAUGUUUCUUGACUAA